AUUUAAUUAGUUUAUAAAAAAUAAUAAUUUGUGGAAUUAUUGAAGAAGUUUUCAUUAAAUA
rnacentral:tRNA from 1 species